rnacentral:rRNA from 1 species
AACGAACGCUGGCGGCAGGCCUAACACAUGCAAGUCGAGCGCGCCCUCUGAUUUUCGGAUUGGCGGGGUGAGCGGCGGACGGGUUAGUAACGCGUGGGAAUAUGCCCUUUGGUACGGAAUAGCCUCUGGAAACGGAGAGUAAUACCGUAUGAGCCCUUCGGGGGAAAGAUUUAUCGCCAAAGGAUUAGCCCGCGUUAGAUUAGGUAGUUGGUGGGGUAAUGGCCUACCAAGCCUACGAUCUAUAGCUGGUUUUAGAGGAUGAUCAGCAACACUGGGACUGAGACACGGCCCAGACUCCUACGGGAGGCAGCAGUGGGGAAUCUUGGACAAUGGGGGCAACCCUGAUCCAGCCAUGCCGCGUGAGUGAUGAAGGCCUUAGGGUCGUAAAGCUCUUUCGCCUGUGAAGAUAAUGACGGUAGCAGGUAAAGAAACCCCGGCUAACUCCGUGCCAGCCGCCGCGGUAACAC